CACGACUACAUUAGAUACCCCGGUAGUCCUAGCCGUAAACGAUACUCGCUAGGUGUCGGCCACGGUGCGACCGUUGUCGGUGCCGUAGGGAAGCCGUGAAGCGAGCCACCUGGGAAGUACGGCCGCAAGGCUGAAACUUAAAGGAAUUGGCGGGGGAGCACAACAACGGGUGGAGCUUGCGGUUUAAUUGGAUUCAACGCCGGAAAUCUUACCGGGACCGACAGCAACAUGAAGGCCAGGCUGAAGACUUUGCCGGAUUAGCUG
rnacentral:rRNA from 1 species